CAGUCAAUACCUGCUCCUCACUCUCACACUCUGAUUUGGUCAACAGCAGGCCGGCCCGCCAGUGUUGUCACACCUCACCGUCAAGUCUCACCACACUCUCCACUCCGCACCUCCACGAAAGGACAAAUGAAGGGACCCCUGCUGCUGACGGCUCUCCUGGUGGGGAUAUGUCUGCCCCGUACCCAGGCCCAGACCCCACCCUCGCUGCCCACCCCACCCUCCCUGCAAGCACUACUUCCGGCGCCAGCCGCCUGCCCACCCGAAGUGGCCAAUCCGUGCCGCCUGCUGACCUUCUUCGUCCAACAGUUCGCUGUGCCCAGCGACUGUGCCCGGUACUGCCAGUGUACUGGUGAGGCCAGCGGCGUCAUCACCUCCUGCCUCCCUUACUUUCUCUUCAGUGAAGAAGAAAACGGCUGUAGGCCCAGUACUUAUGUGAAGUGCGGCUCCAGACCUGCAGGGUAGAUGGGUCUUACACCACACCCAGCCGGCCUCCACCACACCCAGCCGGCCUCCACCACACCCAGCCGGCCUCCACCACACCCAGCCGGCCUCCACCACACCCAGCCGGCCUCCACCACACCCAGCCGGCCUCCCAAAAACAAGUUAACCUCCAGGUUAACCAACAUUGCCCAUAAAAACGUCUCCCACAAUCAUCCAGUGAGCCUCACUUGUGUACACAAUCACCCAAUGAGCCUCACUUGUGUACACAAUCAUCCAGUGAGCCUCACUUGUGUACACAAUCACCCAGUGAGCCUCACUUGUGUACACAAUCACCCAGUGAGCCUCACUUGUGUACACAAUCACCCAAUGAGCCUCACUUGUGUACACAAUCACCCAAUGAGCCUCACUUGUGUACACAAUCAUCCAGUGAGCCUCACUUGUGUACACAAUCACCCAGUGAGCCUCACUUGUGUACACAAUCACCCAGUGAGCCUCACCUGUGUACACAAUCAUCCAGUGAGCCUCCCCUGUGUACACAAUCAUCCAGUGAACCUCACUUGUGUACACAAUCACCCAAUGAGCCUCACUUGUGUAUACAAUCACCCAAUGAGCCUCACGAGUACAAUCAUUGUUUAUGUGUAUGUUAAUCUCAUUGUGUGACAAUUGUUCCAUCACAAAUGUCUUGUUAAUGUUUCAUGUUAAUGUUUCAUGUUAAUGUUUGUUGUUG